UCGAGAAUCUUCCGCAAUGGACGAAAGUCUGACGGAGCGACGCCGCGUGGAGGAAGAAGGCUUUCGGGUUGUAAACUCCUGUCAGAGUUUAAGAAAGCAGGGGGGCUAAUACCCACCCCUGUUGACAAAGGACUCAAAGGAAGCCACAGCUAACCUCGUGCCAGCAGCUGCGGUAAUACGAAGGUGGCGAGCGUUGUUCGGAUUCACUGGGCAUAAAGGGCGCGUAGGCGGUUCUGAAAGCGGCGUGUGAAAUCCCGGAGCUCAACUCCGGAACUGCAUGCCGAACUUCAGGACUAGAGGACAGGAGGGGAGUGUGGAACUCUAGGUGGAGCGGUGAAAUGCGUAGAUAUCUAGAGGAACGCCGGUGGCGAAAGCGACACUCUGGCCUGCCCCUGACGCUGAGGCGCGAAAGCGUGGGUAGCAAACAGGAUUAGAUACCCGCGUAGUCC
rnacentral:rRNA from 1 species